CCUACGGGAGACUGCAGUAGGGAAUAUUGCUCAAUGGGGGAAACCCUGAAGCAGCAACGCCGCGUGGAGGAUGAAGGUUUUCGGAUUGUAAACUCCUUUUGUUAGAGAAGAUAAUGACGGUAUCUAACGAAUAAGCACCGGCUAACUCCGUUCCAGCAGCCGCGGUAAUACGGAGGGUGCAAGCGUUACUCGGAAUCACUGGGCGUAAAGAGCGCGUAGGCGGGAUAGCAAGUCAGAUGUGAAAUCCUAUGGCUUAACCAUAGAACUGCAUUUGAAACUGUUAGUCUAGAGUAUGGGAGAGGUAGGUGGAAUUCUUGGUGUAGGGGUAAAAUGCGUAGAGAUCAAGAGGAAUACUCAUUGCGAAGGCGACCUGCUAGAACAUAACUGACGCUGAUGCGCGAAAGCGUGGGGAGCAAACAGGAUUAGAUACCCGGGUAGUC
rnacentral:rRNA from 1 species